CUCGCCUUUCUCUGUGGCUCCCCUCCCCCAGCAACCGCACACUCGCACACACACAAACAGAGAGAGAAGGGGGGAGGGUGAGAGAGAGGGGAAGAGAGAGAGAGAGAGAGAGGGGAGAGAGAGAGAGGAGAGACUCCCCGGCUCCCUCCCUCCCUCGCACACAGCGACUGGAGACGGACGGAGAGCAACGCGCUGGGAGAGGAGAGACCACCGACAACAGACCCGCGCUCUCACACAUACACUCACACUCGACUCUUUCCUCUCCCCCCACCUCCUCCUCCUUCCACCCCCACCACUAACACCAUCUCCUCCUCCUUCUCUCUGCAACAAGAAAAAAAAAGCCAUUUACAGGGGGUGAUGUGCAACUAAUUAAAGGCAGACUGGCAGCGUCUGCAAAUUCUAAGGCUCCCCAAAUAAAAAGAGACUGUUGUAACAGUUGGAGGAUAAUGCAAAGGAAGACGCUGCCUGGGAAUUCACCGUCUGUGGAAAUGAGCCCCAGAGAGGAAUAAAGCAGCCCUCACCUUGCUCUCCCCACCCGAACCCACUUUCCCCACCCGCCUCGGCCCCCACCCCAACACCACCAUCACUCCCUUCCCUCCCCCCCACCUUUCCCCCUUUUCCACCCAGGUGUCGGACCAGGCGGUCCCCACUUCCACCCUGCACCCCUUCUUCCCCCCCUGCACCAUGAACACCAAUGUCUGCGUGGAGCCCGGGCCGAGCCCGGAGGCCCCGGGCUUGCCCAAGGAAAGCCACUUGCCCGAGGGGGCUCUGAACAGCCUUGUGGAUUACAACUCGGAAAUGGAGCGCUACCGCUCCUUUGCCACCUCCUUCUACAAGACCAACGGGGGCGCCUUCCCACAGGCGGCCAAGAUCGCGCGCAUCACCACCCCCAUCUUCCCCAGCAGCGCCGCCGCCGCCGCGGCCGCCGCGCGCAUCGGCAUGUCCCCCUGGAACUGCGACAACGCGGCCACCGCCGCCGCCGCCACCGCCAUGCUCUGGGGCAGCGGCGGGGGCGGGGGCGGCGGCGGGGGGGGUGGCGGCGGCGGCGGCGGGGGCGGGGGCGGGGGUGGUGGGGGCGGCAGGAAAUCCUCCUCCGCCGCCGCCUCCUCCUCCGCCUCCUCCUCCUCGGCGAUCCUCCCCGCCGGCGGUGGCGGCGGCGGCGGCGGCGGCGGCGGCAGCAGGACCAGCAUGCACCACCGAAACGACUCCCAGAGGCUGGGGAAAGCUGGCUGCCCGCCAGAGCCGUCGUUGCAAAUGGCAAAUACUAAUUUCCUCUCCACCUUAUCCCCUGAACACUGCAGACCUUUGGCGGGGGAAUGCAUGAACAAGCUCAAAUGCGGCGCUGCUGAAGCAGAGAUAAUGAAUCUCCCCGAGCGCGUGGGGACUUUUUCCGCUAUCCCGGCUUUAGGGGGCAUCUCAUUACCUCCAGGGGUCAUCGUCAUGACAGCCCUUCACUCCCCCGCAGCAGCCUCAGCAGCCGUCACAGACAGUGCGUUUCAAAUUGCCAAUCUGGCAGACUGCCCGCAGAAUCAUUCCUCCUCCUCCUCGUCCUCCUCAGGGGGAGCUGGCGGAGCCAACCCAGCCAAGAAGAAGAGGAAAAGGUGUGGGGUCUGCGUGCCCUGCAAGAGGCUCAUCAACUGUGGCGUCUGCAGCAGUUGCAGGAACCGCAAAACGGGACACCAGAUCUGCAAAUUUAGAAAAUGUGAAGAGCUAAAGAAAAAACCUGGCACUUCACUAGAGGCUUCUUGACCUCAAGGAUCUUAAUAUAAGGAAGAAAUAAUUUUUAAAAGAGGCUUCCCUGCUUACCUUCUCACUUCUCCUGCAAUAAACUGUCCAUAUUCUUACAUCUGGGGAUGCAUACUGGUCUCAAUGUAUGCAUAGUAAAAUCACGAUGCACAGUAAUAUCAAAGAACACCUGUUCCCAGCGCUGAAGCAUUCCGAUGGUUCUUUUAAAGCAGUAGUAUAUCUUAUUUUCAAGGCAUUUGGAAAUGAAGGGCAAACUAAUGUCUUGUUUUAAGAAACUGCUUAGUCCACCACUGAAGAAAAUAUCCAGAAAUUAUUUUCAUUUUACGUAUAGGGCUUUCUUCAAAAAAAAAAAAAAAAGAGGAAAAGAAAAGAAAAAAGACAUAAAAAUAAUGUGGGAGCUUGGAGAAUUGGCCAGUCUAUUUACUUUCAAUACGCUGAUUCUUUCUUUGAUGUAAUUUUAGCUAUAGUAGUGAAGUUGUUGUCUAUUUUGAAAGUGGCUGUAAAAAAUAAGUUUGGGUAAACCCCUGCUGUAAAAUCAUGUAUCUUUGCAAAGUACAUAUCUAUACUUCAUUUUCAAAUAUAUGUGUUUCAGUACUGUAAACUGUACAGAUAGCAGCUUGUAUUUUGUGUGUUUAGACACAAGGAGACAAUCAUGUCUGAGCAUCUAUGGAGAUUAACAGUUUGUACACAACAGUAUGGUUCUGCAAGUUAAAUCUGGAGCAAUAAAUUUUAGCUUUAACUAUUUUUUGCCAGUGGUUUAGAAGCAGCAACAGCACUGGCACCAUUUUGCCAUGCAUCUUUCCAUAGAGACUUGAUGCCAAGUUUUACAAGACUAAAAGAUUAUGAUGCAUCCACCAAUUACCUUCAGUUUUAUUGUUAUAAGAGGGGAAGAUGUUAUGAAAGUUUCAAUUAAUCUUUUGAGCACUAUAUUAGAGUAGUGGUUAUGCACUUGCAUUGCUUACAAACGAGCUGUACAGAAGGGUAUACCUCCCAAAUACUUAGUGUAGUUGACUUGUCUUGGGUUGCACUGUAAGGCGGAGUACUCAGAGUAGUUGGAAAAUGCAGAAUCAGUUGUAUAAUUUUUUUUUUAUAAAAACUGUGUUUUUUUAGGCUAAAGAAUAAAGUAUCAUAUCUUAGGAGGGGAAAAUUUAUAACUGACAUUUUUUCCCCAGCCCAACAUGGGCUGUAUACGUUUUAUUGUUUCUUAAUUUUUUUCUUAUUUUUUCUGUAGGAAAAAAUCUUAAUAAAAACUACCCCAAUGUUUUAACUUCAUGUAUGAUAUUAAAUGGGUAGUUUUAACACUUGAGUAUGUUGAGGGCUUCUGCCUUGAGGCAGGGCUUGAUAUAUUUUUAAUUUACAAAGAAUUAAACAUAUUCAUAAAAGUGAGGCAUUUUAUCUCUUUUUAUUUUCUUUUCUCAUAGCCACCCAGUUGGACUAGUGGUCUUCCCCUGGUCCUUCAGUAAAAUGCUCCAUUGCUGCCAUUUCCAUUGUUGUUACUUGAUGCUUUCAUUCCUGAGAAGGCAGGGCUACAGUCUCUGGAAUUUCAUAAAUGCAUGACAUACCCCUCCCCCCACAACCUACACACAAAGGAUCUAAUGCUUCAUAGAACCUGUGCUACCUUUUCAUGUUGGAGUUGGUUUUCUUAUCACAGUCAGAGUUCUUAAGGCCGUCCCAUCAGGACAAAUAUUUACAUUUCAUUUUAUUUUUGUUUGUCCCAAUUAUAAAGACUAUUUUCAGUUUCAGGAGUAGAACAGGGUUUAGCAAAAAUAUGUAGAGUAUCAAAGUUACCUACUGCAACUUUUUGUUCUUUGUCCACUAGCCAGGUGAUUUAACCCACUAAAUCCAUUAGCUUGCUGAAAAAUGUUAGCAAAGUAAAUCACGAGAAGAAAGAUAAUUUGAGAAGAGAAAUGGUGUGGUACAAUGAAAGAAGCUGUAAAGAUUAGGAAAGACUAGUAAGUGAAUAUUUUUAAAAAUUUAGUUGUAGAUUUCAACGGGAUACGAUAGGACAGAAAAGAUUUUUUAAAAAGCAGAAAGAGUGUUUCAUGGUGAAAGUACUGGGGGAGGGUGGACAAAGCAUGCACACAUGCCAAUUUGAAAAUCAAGUGUGACUUACCUCACGUAGAGUAUGAAUACAUGGUCCACAGUUAUGGUCAACAAGCGUUUUCAAGAAAAACUCAUUAUGUGUUACACCCAUCCAUAUUUAGAGAUGAGAAUUAAAUGAUUACAAGCUAAAAUGUGCUGUAUACUGUAUUAAUUUUGAGAUAGCUUUCUACUUGAUGUAUAUUUCUUUGAGGUUUUCUAUCUAGUUAGAAUUUCAGCUUCUGCUGUGGGACCAAUGAGAGCUGUAUGAGUUUUUUUUUUUUUUUCCUUUUCCAUUAUUUUAUUUUUUGUUUUUUUGUUUACCAAUUUGCUAAUUAAUUACAAGUAAGUGAAAACUUACUUUCACACUUGAAUGAUAAGCUUGCCUUGCUCUUUGGAAAAUGAUGAUUGUUAUUACAGAAGUGAAACAAACUUCUAUUCAGGCUACAGUAGGCAUACAAUAACAUAAAGAUCUCAUAGAAGUAUACUGAGAGUCUAAAAUACAUUCUAGUAGUGCAUGUCUUGGUGUGCUUUUGUUUGUUUGCUUUCUAAAAGAACUAAUGAAUCUGUAUAUUGUAAACUGUGGUGUUUUACAUGUCAAUUCAUUUUUUUAAUGAAAGAAAAUUUGUUGAUUACUGAAAUGAGAAAGUGUAGUUUUUCAUUAAUUCUCUUAUGUUUUUUAUUCUUGAUAUUGUUCUUUUAUACCACCCACUUUUUAAUGUUUUUGGUUAAACUCCAUUUAUAUAAUGUAGGGUGCAUAUAAAGUUCUCAUUGGUGAUGUUGAAGAAAGAGAUGACUCUUCUGGCCUUUCUCUAGUUUUCUUCCUCAUAUGUCCCUGUACUGAGAACUUGUAAAGCUUAUCAUUAUAAACCUAAGGCAGUGAUUUGAAAGUUUACAUUUUUCAUUAUUUUCAAAUACCAAUGAAAUGUAACUUUUAAAUAUUCCUCACUGUAUGUUUUAUAUUCACUGUCAAGAAAAUUCAGAAUGUAGAUUGUGUGGACAGCUAUACACAACUUAAUAAUUAUAUAUCAGAUAAACUGAAUAAAAAACUUUGUAAGAGUGGUCUACGCACACAGGAUCUUGUCCUCCCUAGGCGUGGAUAGAGAGAUGCCAUAAUCUUCCAGCAUUUGGGGAGAGCAUGGUAAAUACUUGAGGCGUUGAUACAUAGUGCAGUGAGCCAAUUUCCUUUUCAGUUGUCACUCAGCACCAUAACAUCACGAAGAACAUCAUUAAUGCAAACCUCUCACUAAGCCUUCAGACCAAAGUGGCUUUCUGAUGGACUCUGCCUGUCUGUCUACAAGUGGAGUCAGAUUCAAAGUAGAAAUGUAUCCAUCCUUGGGAAAGAAAAUAGGAAGUCUUCCCCCACUGUAGGAGUAUAUAAAAAUGUCUCCUGGUUGCUUAAUUCCCAACACUCAAUUUCCUUCUUCUAAACACAUUUAUAAGGAGCGAGAGAUGGUGCACUUAUUAUGAAUUAAUAUUAAGCAAUCACUAAAAGAAAGGAAUAUUCUCUUCCUUUCAAUCAGAAACCCUGAUAUGUAAGUUGUGCAAUUAAUGCUAAAGCAUAUAAAGUCUUUAAGCUGAUAAGUAUCUGUAAUCAAAUAAUGAAAAAAGGAAAGCAGUUAAAUGAACACACUAUUCAGGGUCAAAUAUGUUCAGCAAAAAGCCGUAGCGGGUCUUUGAUCAUGGUUAGAUUCACAGUGAUAUCAAACAGUUGGUUCUCAUGUAACAGCUAAAUGUUUCAGUUUUUUUUUAUUAUUAAAUUUGGCAUUUCACACUGAGAUCUGUAUUCCUAGUGAAUAAAAGACAGCUACUAUAUUAGGAGGGAUUCCAUUUUCACAAUUGCAAAACAGAUAUUUCAGGAACAUGGGCCACAAAAUGUACUCCUUUCACAGUGUUCUCCUCUUCUGAACUGUGCAGUUAUCUAUUAAAUUUUCUAAUAGAUAUUUGUGUAAGGUGUAUGUAUGCUUGUGCAAUUAUUUAAAAAACGGUUUUGGAAAACAGUGUAUUUAUUAAAGAAAAUUACUUAUGGGGCAUGUACAAAACUGUAAAAAAAAAAAAAAGUAAAAAAAAUCACAUUCAAUUUGCCCAGUAAAGUUGUUUUUGUGAAAUUUCUGUGUUGUUGAAUAAAGGACUUUAGUAUUCAAAAUA